AGGGGAAGUCUGCUCAGCUGUGGGGCACAGCAGACAGGACUGGUGAUGGUCUCCACCAUGUCCUGGUCUCCUGUCCUUCUCACCCUCUUCACUCACUGCACAGGGUCCUGGGCCCAGUCUGUACUGACUCAGCCAUCCUCGGGGUCGGGUUCCUUGGGCCAGAGGGUCACCAUCUCCUGCACUGGAAGCAGCUCCCACAUCAGUAGCAAUUUUGUGAGCUGGUACCAACAACUCCUAGGCAAAACCCCCAAAACCAUAAUCCUUUGGGAUGAUAGCAGACCCUCGGGGGUUCCUGAACGAUUCUCCGGCUCCAAGUCUGGCAGCACAGGCACCCUGACCAUCACUGGGCUCCAGGGUGAGGACGAGGCUGAUUAUUACUGCUCAGCAUGGGAUGAUAGUCUGAGAGCUCACACAGAGCUCCAGGCCCGUGGGGAAGUGAGACAAAAACGUGCUGUCCCCACAGAAAUGGGACUUGCUGUGUAGCCAUGACAUUUUGGCCCCAUCGGCUGUUUCUUUGUUUGAUAUCAGCUGAGGUCUGUCACCCGCCUCAAAGAAUUUGUCUACAAAUCUUUCCACAUCCUCUUAAAUUUCUCCUUGAAGCCUGUCCUGGGGAGCAAGAUAUUUUCUGAUUUUCUCAAACUGAGCGCAAAUUCCUGGGUGCCAGAAACAGGCCACCCUGAGGACAGUGACCAUGUCACGUUAGGGCAGAAACAGGGUCACAAAAUCCAGAGUAUCUAUGGCUGAUUCGUACAUUUGGGUCUUUUGAAAUGAGUCCCUGUCCGUUCCCAUCCGUGCUGAGAUCCAACCAGUGAUUUUUGGUAUCCACUUGCUAUUUGUUAUUCACUUUGUUAAUACUUACUUGCAGAAGGAUGUUGAAUGAUAAUGGUGUUUAGGUCACAUUAGCCUGUUCACCUUGUAGAAAUGUCCUCCCCUCCACCACCCCAUUAUUUAAUUCCCUGGUUGUGGGAGUGAGUUCUAUAUGUGUAGGAGAGAAUGUGCUAUCACAAUAUAAAGGCUUCUAUCUGUUUCCAUUUUAUGUGGUUUUUAUUAGGACUUUGCUUUCAAUUUUUCAAAGAAUCUUUCAAGGUCUACUGAGAUCAUGGGAUUUUCAUCUGUUUAUUUACUAAUAUGAUGCCUUAUCUUAGAAGAUCUAUUAAUACGGAAUCCCACUCUAUAUUUGCAAUAAAUCACGUAUAGUCACUUUA